AUUGAACGCUGGCGGCAUGCCUAACACAUGCAAGUCGAACGGUAACGCGGGGGGCAACCCCUGGCGACGAGUGGCGGACGGGUGAGUAAUACAUCGGAACGUGCCCAGUAGUGGGGGAUAGCCCGGCGAAAGCCGGAUUAAUACCGCAUACGACCUACGGGUGAAAGCGGGGGAUCGCAAGACCUCGCGCUAUUGGAGCGGCCGAUGUCAGAUUAGCUAGUUGGUGGGGUAAAAGCCUACCAAGGCGACGAUCUGUAGCUGGUCUGAGAGGACGACCAGCCACACUGGGACUGAGACACGGCCCCAGACUCCUACGGGAGGCAGCAGUGGGAAUUUUGGACAAUGGGGGCAACCCUGAUCCAGCCAUGCCGCGUGCGGGAAGAAAGGGCCCUUCGGGUUCG
rnacentral:rRNA from 1 species